GUGGGGAAUAUUGGACAAUGGGGGGAACCCUGAUCCAGCCAUGCCGCGUGUGUGAAGAAGGCCUUUUGGUUGUAAAGCACUUUAAGCGAGGAGGAGGCUACCGAGAUUAAUACUCUUGGAUAGUGGACGUUACUCGCAGAAUAAGCACCGGCUAACUCUGUGCCAGCAGCCGCGGUAAUACAGAGGGUGCAAGCGUUAAUCGGCUUUACUGGGCGUAAAGCGCGCGUAGGUGGCCAAUUAAGUCAAAUGUGAAAUCCCCGAGCUUAACUUGGGAAUUGCAUUCGAUACUGGUUGGCUAGAGUAUGGGAGAGGAUGGUAGAAUUCCAGGUGUAGCGGUGAAAUGCGUAGAGAUCUGGAGGAAUACCGAUGGCGAAGGCAGCCAUCUGGCCUAAUACUGACACUGAGGUGCGAAAGCAUGGGGAGCAAACAGGAUUAGAAACCCCAGUAGUCC
rnacentral:rRNA from 1 species